CCUGAUGCAGCAACGCCGCGUGAGCGAUGAAGGCCUUCGGGUCGUAAAGCUCUGUCCUAAGGGAAGAUAUAGACGGUACCUUAGGAGGAAGCCCCGGCUAACUACGUG
rnacentral:rRNA from 1 species